rnacentral:rRNA from 1 species
AACGAACGCUGGCUGCAGGCUUAACACAUGCAAGUCGAGCGCCCCGCAAGGGGAGCGGCAGACGGGUGAGUAACGCGUGGGAACGUACCCUUUGCUACGGAAUAGCUCCGGGAAACUGGAAUUAAUACCGUAUGUGCCCUACGGAGGAAAGAUUUAUCGGCAAAGGAUCGGCCCGCGUUGGAUUAGCUAGUUGGUGGGGUAAUGGCCUACCAAGGCGACGAUCCAUAGCUGGUCUGAGAGGAUGAUCAGCCACAUUGGGACUGAGACACGGCCCAAACUCCUACGGGAGGCAGCAGUGGGGAAUAUUGGACAAUGGGCGCAAGCCUGAUCCAGCCAUGCCGCGUGAGUGAUGAAGGCCUUAGGGUUGUAAAGCUCUUUCACCGGAGAAGAUAAUGACGGUAUCCGGAGAAGAAGCCCCGGCUAACUUCGUGCCAGCCGCCGCGGUAA